rnacentral:rRNA from 1 species
UAGAUAUCCGGAGGAACACCAGUGGCGAAGGCGGUACGCUGGGCCUGGUCUGACGCUAAGACGCGAAAGCAUGGGGAGCGAACGGGAUUAGAACCCCCGGUAGUCCAUGCCGUAAACGAUGCUAACUAGGUGUUUGCGGGUAAAAGACCGGCAGUGCCGGAGUUAACGCGAUAAGUUAGCCACCUGGGGACUACGGUCGCAAGGCUUAAACUCAAAGGAAUUGACGGGGGCCCGCACAAGCAGCGGAGCGUGUGGUUUAAUUCGAGGCUACACGAAGAACCUUACCUGGGCUUGACGUGACGGUGGUAGGGAACCGAAAGGGGACCGACCUUCGGGAGCCGUCACAGGUGCUGCAUGGCUGUCGUCAGCUCGUGUCGUGAGAUGUUCGGUUAAGUCCGGUAACGAGCGCAACCCUCAUCGCUAGUUACAAGUGUCCUAGCAAGCCUGCCCGUUCAACGCGGGAGGAAGGCGGGGAUGACGUCAAGUCAGCAUGGCCUUUAUGUCCAGGGCUACACACACGCUACAAUGGCGGGUACAAUGGGUCGCCAACCCGCGAGGGGGAGCCAAUCCACCAAAGCCGGUCACAGUUCGAAUUGCAGGCUGCAACCCGCCUGCAUGAAGUCGGAGUUGCUAGUAACCGCAGGUCAGCUAUCCUGCGGUGAUACGUUCCCGGGCCUUGUACACACCGCCCGUCACGUCAUGGGAGCUGGUC